rnacentral:rRNA from 1 species
ACACACACCCUGGUUAAAUGAAUGCAUGUCAAUACAUAAUAAGAAAAACUUUCAACAACGGAUCUCUUGGCUCUCGCAUCGAUGAAGAACGCAGCGAAAUGCGAUAAGUAAUGUGAAUUGCAGAAUUCAGUGAAUCAUCGAAUCUUUGAACGCACCUUGCGCUCUCUGGUAUUCCGGAGAGCAUGCCUGUUUGAGUGUCAUGAACUCUUCAACCCACCAGUUUCUUGCAUUCUGUGUGGUGCUUGGAUUCUGAACGUUGCUUGUGCCGAGAGCCAUGCUCGUUUGUAAUACAUUAGCAUUUCUAAUUCGACCCCGGAUUGACUCAGUGUAAUAGACUACUCACUGAGGACAUUACUUGUAAUGGCCGGAUCAAAUUACCAGUCCAAUGCUCCAAACCACCCCAGUCACAUAUCAUUUUAGACCUCAGAUCAGGCAGGAUUACCCGCUGAACUUAA